rnacentral:rRNA from 1 species
UACAGAGGGGGCUAGCGUUAUUCGGAAUUAUUGGGCGUAAAGGGCGCGUAGGCGGCCAUGCGUGUCUUCCGUGAAAUCCCUCGGCUUAACUGAGGACGUGCGGAAGAAACUGCAAGGCUCGAGUCCGGGAGAGGGGGGUGGAAUUCCCAGUGUAGCGGUGAAAUGCGUAGAUAUUGGGAGGAACACCGGUGGCGAAGGCGGCCCCCUGGACCGGUACUGACGCUGAGGAGCGAAAGCGUGGGGAGCGAACAGG